CCCUUAGAUGUUCUGGGCCGCACGCGUGCUACACUGAGUGGAUCAGCGGGUCAGGUUGCGCGAAAGUGUUUCCUAAUCUUUAAAUCCGCUCGUGAUGGGGAUUGACGGUUGCAAUUUUCCGUCAUGAACGAGGAAUACCUUGUAAGCGCGGGUCAUCAUCCCGCGCUGAAUACGUCCCAGCCCUUUGUACACACCGCCCGUCGCUCCUACCGAUUGAGUGGUCCGGUGAGGCUUUGGGAUCUGAGCGGAAAGAGCGUUUCGCUGUUUCUGCCCGGAAAACUCAGUCGAACCUUAUCAUUUAGAGGAAGGAGAAGUCGUAACA
rnacentral:rRNA from 1 species